rnacentral:rRNA from 1 species
AUUGAACGCUGGCGGCAUGCCUUACACAUGCAAGUCGAACGGCAGCACGGGAGCAAUCCUGGUGGCGAGUGGCGAACGGGUGAGUAAUAUAUCGGAACGUGCCCAGUCGUGGGGAUAACGUAGCGAAAGCUACGCUAAUACCGCAUACGAUCUAUGGAUGAAAGCGGGGGAUCGCAAGACCUCGCGCGAUUGGAGCGGCCGAUAUCAGAUUAGGUAGUUGGUGAGGUAAAGGCUCGCCAAGCCGACGAUCUGUAGCUGGUCUGAGAGGACGACCAGCCACACUGGGACUGAGACACGGCCCAGACUCCUACGGGAGGCAGCAGUGGGGAAUUUUUGGACAAUGGCGCAAGCCUGAUCCAGCAAUA